GACAGAGGGUGCAAACGUUGUUCGGAAUUACUGGGCGUAAAGCGCGUGUAGGCGGCCAUGCAAGUCGGAUGUGAAAGCCCUCGGCUCAACCGGGGAAGUGCACUCGAAACUGCAAGGCUAGAGUCUCGGAGAGGAUCGUGGAAUUCUCGGUGUAGAGGUGAAAUUCGUAGAUAUCGAGAGGAACACCGGUGGCGAAGGCGGCAAUCUGGACGAUGACUGACGCUGAGACGCGAAAGCGUGGGGAGCAAACAGG
rnacentral:rRNA from 1 species